rfam:Proteus mirabilis strain HI4320, complete genome
GGUGAGAUGUCCGAGAGGCUGAAGGAGCACGCCUGGAAAGUGUGUAUACGGCAACGUAUCGAGGGUUCGAAUCCCUCUCUCACCG